CGAGGCGCAGGCGUUGUGCGUCAUCUCAGCGCCUCCAAGAGGGGCGGGGCGAGAGCUCCUUAAAGGGGCGGAGCAGGCCGGCGGCCCCAGUCCCACCGCGCUCAGGACCCACAAUCCCUCGCGGCGUGCGGGGACGCGCGCACGUUCCCGCCAGAGCUGCGUGGCAGUGCCCUGGGGGUGUUGCCAUGGCGAUGUCCCCCGGCAUUGCCCACCCUGCCUAUCCCCUGGGCUGCGUCGCAGAGACGCCACGGCGCCCGCACGCCGUUCAGGAUGGGCCCAUGGGGGCAAGUUUGCUGUGACAGAAACCCAAUGAUGCCAACUUGAAGCGUUCAAAAACCAAGGGUUAGCCUCCCUCCCCCUGAAAAAACAUGAGAUUUGCUUCAAGAAUACACUUUGGGUUCUUUUCCGUUGCCUUCCAGUUUCCGAGCCUCUUGUAGAAGGUGAUAGAUUGCAUCUGAUGAAGUGAGCUGUAGCUCACAAAAGCUUAUGCUCUAAUAAAUUUGUUAGUCUCUGAGGUGCCACAAGUCCUCCUUUUUUUUUUUUUUUUUU